GAUGGCCUACGGGGCGCAGCAGUAGGGAAUCUUCCACAAUGGGCGAAAGCCUGAUGGAGCAACGCCGCGUGGGUGAAGAAGGUCUUCGGAUCGCAAAACCCCGUUGUUAGAGAAGAAAGUGCGUGAGAGUAACUGUUCACGUUUCGACGGUAUCUAACCAGAAAGCCACGGCUAACUACGUGCCAGCAGCCGCGGUAAUACGUAGGUGGCAAGCGUUAUCCGGAUUUAUUGGGCGUAAAGAGAACGCAGGCGGUCUUUUAAGUCUGAUAUGAAAGCCUUCGGCUUAACCGGAGUAGUGCAUUGGA
rnacentral:rRNA from 1 species